UUGAGAUCGACCAGGCCAAAGAAAAAGGGGUAAACCCUAAAUUUCAAGAAAAUCUCCAAAUCAAAAAGGGAAUUGAAGGUUUUUAGGAUGCAUGUAUCAAGAUUAUCGAUCUCCUAAGUGUUCUUCACUGUCAAGAUCAUGUCAAGAUUGGGGAAACAUGGAAAGCUACGUAAAGGAUAUGAGGAAGCAUACACGAGACAGGCACUCGAGGUAUCGCUUGGGUUUCCUCUACCACUAGCGAAGUGAAGCAGACAUAGAUCGAGUUGAGAGCAAGGAUUGUACGGGAAAGAAAGGUCACAUAGUUUGCUUUAAAUUGGUCAUGAAGCCUUGAUAUAAUGUAACAUUGUGAAUCCUCUCUAAUGAACGUAUUACAAUUUGUAAUUGAGUCUUCAUGUAAUUAAUAUGACUUUUUAAGAACGAAA